AGUGAACGCUGGCGGCGUGGAUUAGGCAUGCAAGUCGUGCGAUCCAUUUUUGCGAGAGUUUUGACGGACUUGUCCGCCGAAGCUUUAGCGAAGACGGAUAGCGGCAAACGGGUGAGUAACACGUGGGUAACUUACCUUAAGAAAGAUGAUAGUUCACCGAAAGGUGAAGUAAUACUCUAUAAUCCUCUGGUAUCUAAGAUACCAGAGGCAAAGAUGGCCUCUAUUUAUAAGCUGUCGUCUUAAGAGAGGCCCGCGUCCUAUCAGGUAGUUGGCAGGGUAAAGGCCUACCAAGCCUAAGACGGGUAACUGGCAUUAGCGUGUGGUCAGUCACACCGGGACUGAGACACUGCCCGGACUCCUACGGGAGGCUGCAGUCGAGAAUCUUUCCCAAUGGGCGAAAGCCUGAGGAUGCGACGCCGCGUGGAGGAUGAAGCGUUUCGGCGUGUAAACUCCUUUUGUUAGAGAAGAAUGUCCUCUGGUAAAUAGCUGGGGGAUUUGACUUUAUCUGACGAAUAAGCCACGGCUAACUCCGUGCCAGCAGCCGCGGUAAUACGGAGGUGGCAAGCGUUACUCGGUUUGACUGGGUGUAAAGGGUCCGUAGGCGGCUAUAUAAGUGGGAGGUGAAAUCUUUCGGCUUAACCGGAAAACUGCCUCUCAAACUAUUUAGCUUGAGGUUGGAAAAGGAGAGUGGAACUGCCAGUGUAAGGGUGAAAUCUGUGGAUAUUGGCAGGAACGCCCGUGACGAAGGUGACUCUCUGGUCCAAUUCUGACGCUGAGGGACGAAAGCUAGGGGAGCAAACAGGAUUAGAUACCCUGGUAGUCCUAGCCGUAAACGAUGGGCACUAGGUAUUUCUGCCUUUGGCGGGAGUGCCGUAGCUAACGCGUUAAGUGCCCCACCUGGGGACUACGGCCGCAAGGCUAAAACUCAAAGGAAUUGACGG
rnacentral:rRNA from 1 species